rnacentral:rRNA from 1 species
UACGUAGGUUGCAAGCGUUAUCCGGAAUUAUUGGGCGUAAAGCGUGCGCAGGCUGAUCGUUAAGUUGGAUGUUAAAUCCCUGAGCUCAACUCAGGUUUGGUAUCCAAAACUGGCAAUCUAGAGAGAGGCAGAGGUAAGUGGAAUUCUAUAUGUAGGGGUAAUAUCCGUAGAUAUAUAGAGGAACACCAAAAGCGAAGGCAGCUUACUGGGCCUUUUCUGACGCUCAUGCACGAAAGCGUGGGGAGCAAACGGG